GUGCUCACUUCAGCAGCACAUACAUCUCCUAAAACUGGAAUGAUACAUAGAAUAUUAGCAUGCUCCCUGCGCAAGGAUGACAUGGAAAUUCAUAAAGCGUUCCAUAUUUUU
ensembl:snRNA U6 U6 spliceosomal RNA